rnacentral:snoRNA from 1 species
CCUGCCCCUGGAUGCACUGCAGAUGUGGCUGCUGUGUCACAUAUUCAACAGUAGGUGGCAGAACACAGAGAGGCAAUGUUUACAUUAGAUUUUUCUGACCUAUAAAUAUCUGAAUGAUUAAAAGCCUAAUAUU